AACUUUUGGCAACGGAUCUCUUGGUUCUCGCAUCGAUGAAGAACGCAGCGAAAUGCGAUAAGUAAUGUGAAUUGCAGAAUUCAGUGAAUCAUCGAAUAUUUGAACGCAACUUGCGCUCCUUGGUACUCUGAGGAGCAUGCCUGUUUGAGUGUCAUUAAACUUCUUCUCAACCCAUCCAGUUACUCUGUGUAUGUGCUUUGGAAAAUUGGAGGCUUGCGCGUUAACUAUUUGUCCAGCUCACCUGAAAAGCAUUAGCAGCAUCUGGGCUGCUUGCAGAUGUGAUAACUUGUCUACACCUUUGCAGUGGAUGCAGUUGUGCUACUUUAGAGGGCAUUGAUGAAAUUUCACCUCAAAUCAGGUAGGACUACCCGCUGAACUUAAGCAUAUCAAUAAGGGGAGGCU
rnacentral:misc_RNA from 1 species